AGUAGGGUGGCGCAGUUUGGUCAGCGUAGUGGGCCCAUGACCCAAAGGUCGGUGGUUCGAAUCCACUCCCUGCUA
rnacentral:tRNA from 1 species